CGUGGGGGGUUGGUUGGUCCCUCAGCCUGGAUUGAGAGAGGGCACAGGCUAGGCCGAGGGACCCCACCGGUGCAUG
rnacentral:pre_miRNA from 1 species